ACUUACACAUGCAAGUCUCCGCACACCCGUGAGAAUACCCUUUUAACCUCAAUCCAGGAUAAGGAGUUGGUAUCAGGCACAAUUCUUUUGCCCAUAACAUCUAGUUUCACCACGCCCCCAAGGGUUAUCAGCAGUGAUAAAUUUUGCUCAUAAGCGUAAGCUUGACUCAGUCAAAGAAAAGAGGGCCGGCUAAUCUGGUGCCAGCCGCCGCGGCUACACCAAGGGGCCCUAGUUGAUAAUUUUCGGCGUUAAGCGUGAUUAAAGUCUUCUUAUACUAGGGCUAAAUUAACACUUAGUAGUAAUAAGCUUGUUGUUAAGAAAUCCAAAAACGAAAGUUGCCCUAGCCAAACUUGAAUACACGACAGCUGGGAACACAAACUGGGAUUAGAUACCCCACUAUGCCCCGCCGUAAACAAUUAAUUUACAACAACCAGCGCCAGGGUACUACGAGCUAUGCUUAAAACCCAAAGGACUUGACGGUGUCCCACCCACCUAGAGGAGCCUGUUCUAUAAUCGAUAAUCCCCGAUUCACCCAACCAUUUCUUGCUAAUCAGUCUGUAUACCUCCGUCGAAAGCUUACCAUAUGAAUGCUUACAGUAGGCUCAAGGAUUUCUUGUCAACACGUCAGGUCAAGGUGCAACUUAUGAAAUGGUAAGCAAUGGGCUACAAUUUCUAACAUAGAACAAACGAAAGAUUAUGUGAAAUCCUAAUCAUGAAGGCGGAUUUAGCAGUAAAAAGAAACUAGAGAGUUCUUUUUAACUCGGCUCUGGGACGCGUACACACCGCCCGUCACCCUCUUCGAUAGUUUUUAAUUU
rnacentral:ncRNA from 1 species